CGUGCUCACGCGCCGAAUCCCGCAAGGGAACCGGGGAACCACCAAUUGGGGUGAAUCGGGAGUUCUUUGCUGCCUUGCGCAGCUCAGGACAACCGUAGGAGACCUUCCUGCUCCGAACCCGUCAGCUAACCCGGUAGGCGAGAAGGAAGGAAAGG
rnacentral:sRNA from 2 species